GAAUAUGGGCUUGGACAGCAUGUUUGUAGGUGAUGGUUACUGAUAUUUCUGCAGGCUGACUAGGUUUUAACAAGCAACCAUAUGCGACCGUUAACUAUGCUUUGGCUUGGGAUUUUGGCACAGCAUAGAAUGAAAUAAGGCAGAACUGGUGUAAAAUGAAUUAGCUAUACGUGAAUUUAUUGGAAAUCAUUCUUCUAUUAAAUAUAAAAUUAAUAUACUAUUUAAGAGGUACUUGUAUAUUCUCUUUAAGUUCAUUAUUCAGUUAUUCAAUGAAAUAUUGAGAGUUCUUUAAUUUUCUAGUUGUUUCAUGUAAUAAAACCUCUAGAUGCGAUGUUUAUGAUUUUAGAUGUGAUUUCUAUGUUCUAUCCCUAAAUCUCUAAGUAGACAAAUUGACCCUAAUUUGUCCUACAUCAGGGACAAAAACCGAUAAUAUGCUAAAACAAAAACUUAGUUGAAGCUGGACAUGAGACUAACAUGGUUGUUUUAGUUAAUAAAAACUAAGAAGCCUAACAUUUGGUGACAAGGGAUUUCAAUCACCUAGCGAGUAUCCUGGGGUGUACAAACAUGAGCCUCCUGCUUAAAUACUUGGGACUGCCCAAGGGAGGAAAAUUGACACUCAAUAAAAAGCUACGUGGCUAAUAUCAUUUUUUUCAUGUCCUUGUCAACCAUUGCAAAAGAGGUUGGAGGUGACCAAGAACAGGUUUCUUUUGGAUGAUUCAAAUGAGAAGAGGAGAUAUCACCUAAUGGCCAGGUUGUGGUGAAACAACUUGUUCAUAGAGGAAUGAGUGUGAGAUUUUUGGUAGAGUUCAAUAAAACUCUUCAAGGGAGGUCGCUUUGGAGGUUCAUGGGGGAGCCUAUUAUUCUUUUUAGGAAGGUGAUUGUCACACAAAUUUGGUUUGGAUAAUUAUGGUUGAUAUGUGAAGAAUCCUAGGGGUUUGUGUGGAGUAGGUUUUGUCGAACAAAACUAGUAUAGCAAGGAUUACUUUCAACAGUGUACCAAAUGGAGGGUGGGGUCGUGGACAUGGUGGGUCUGUGGACGGGUGAAUGGUUGGGAGGAGGGGCUCUUUCUCUUCACUUCCCCCACAAUUUUUGCAGUUGCUCGUAAUGAGGAUAUCUCUGUAUAAGAUUCUUCCGUCGGAUCCUCCACAAUGGUGCUUGGACAGUCAAAUUGAUCAAGAACUUAAAUGAUUGAGAAAUUAGUGAGUCUAUGAGGUUUCUCAAGUCUUUUUUGCAAGUUGUGGUUUCUAGAGGGACGAAGGAUGAACCAAGUCCCUGACCAUUGGUAAAGUCUUAUUACUUGAUUGGCUAAGUGAGUUGCGCUUGUGAGAAGUUCUAGUUGAGACUUAUUUAGAAAGUUAAGGCAAUACUUAGGGUGACUUUUUAUUUUUCACUUGGGUAGUAGGGUGCAAUAUGUCAGAUGAGUUGAUUAAGAAGGGGGAAAAUUCUUGUGAGUGGAUGUUAUUUGUGCAAAACGGCAUAGAAACAUUCAAUCAUAUCCUUUUGUGCCUGUAUCCACACCAUCUUUAGUCUUUUGCUUGUUUGGGGUUGAGUUGGGUUAUUGCUGGUAUAGUGAAGGAGCUUUGACCUUGAAAGUUAUGCAAAUUGAUAAGCGAUAUUCAAGGCUUAUCCCUUUCCCUACUUUGUGGGAAAUUUGGAAAUAUAGAAAGAGGAAGGUGCUAACUUUGAUUAGAUCUACAGGUUUGUGGUUCCAAAUUCUCAGUUGUUUGAUUAAAGAGUAGUUGUUUUAUUCUAGCAAGGAUCUAGUGAACCCGAUAAACAUUUUGUUAGAAAUGUGAAUACUUUUUGUCUGUGGGGUGGGGAUGCUCUUUGAAUAUAUUCAUUUUUUUCUUCUGAAAAGAAAAAAAAGCUAAGAAGCAAAAGUAAAUGGCUAAGUUAAACAAGUCCUUUUGAUGCUCCUGCGUGUGGACACAUGCUUCUUCAUUUUUUUUUCUUCUAAAAAAGUAAACAAACUCAUUCUUAGUUUUGUUGUUGACACAUUUAUGUUUCCUUACACUGUGGAAGCCUGCAAAUGUCAGCACAUGAGGUUGACGCCUGAUUGUCUAGCUCACAUAAAAUGUAUGAGGAAAGCAACUUCCUUUACAUCUAAAUUAUGAGCUUGUGAGGCAUAUGCACGAUGAAAUGCCUACAUAAUAUGUUACUUGGAUCUAGUAAUUGCUUGGCCUUGCAGGUAGCCUACACCUGCUAGUAUG
rnacentral:lncRNA from 1 species